rnacentral:rRNA from 1 species
UGGGGAAUAUUGGAUAAUGGGCGAAAGCCUGAUCCAGCCAUGUCGCGUGUGUGAAGAAGGUCUUCGGAUUGUAAAGCACUUUAAGUUGGGAGGAAGGGCAGUAAGCGAAUACCUUGCUGUUUUGACGUUACCGACAGAAUAAGCACCGGCUAACUCUGUGCCAGCAGCCGCGGUAAUACAGAGGGUGCAAGCGUUAAUCGGAAUUACUGGGCGUAAAGCGCCCGUAGGUUGUUCGUUAAGUUGAAUGUGAAAGCCCCGGGCUCAACCUGGGAACUGACUCCAUAACUGGCGAGCUCAAGUAGGGCAGAUGGUGGUGGAAUUUCCUGUGUAGCGGAGAAAUGCGUAGAUAUAGGAAGGAACACCAGUGGCGAAGGCGACCACCUGGGCUCAUACUGACACUGAGGUGCGAAAGCGUGGGGAGCAAACAGG